rnacentral:rRNA from 1 species
UACGUAGGGCGCAAGCGUUGUCCGGAAUUAUUGGGCGUAAAGAGCUCGUAGGCGGUCUGUUACGUCCGCUGUGAAAACCCAGGGCUUAACCCUGGGCUGGCAGUGGAUACGGGCAGACUAGAGGUAGGUAGGGGAGAAUGGAAUUCCCGGUGUAGCGGUGAAAUGCGCAGAUAUCAGGAGGAACACCUAUUGCGAAGGCAGCUCGCUGGGACGUUACUGACGCUGAGACGCGAAAGCGUGGGGAGCAAACAGG